rnacentral:rRNA from 1 species
AUGAAAGAAAACUGCAAGAAAUGCUAUCUUAUACUCCAUUGCAGAAUUUUCUGGUCUCUUCAAUGGAGCAGUAAACCAUGGUCUUCUGGACAUCUUGAAUCUUAUCUGAAUUCUUACUCAAUCAGCGUCACUCUGAAUUGCAACUAUGGGCAUUUGUAUGUGCAGCUUGAGAAGUUACGGGCCACUGGAAUUGAGGGAGAGAUAUUUGGUCAAAACUGUACUUCCUGCUGCGUCUGGGAUCUUGGAGCCGAGCCAAGGAAUGCAAAGGAUAGUUCUGCACAGUUUCACAAAGUCCAGUCUAGGUGCAACCUCAAAUGGCCCAUUCCAGCAGCUCCAUUCACAAAUGUGCAUAAACUACUUGGAUAUAUGAGUUCGCUUUGCUUUGGUUUUAUUCAAGGAGUUUCCUGUGAUUAUGGUUCUUCUACUUCUGCUUGUACUCUCUACAUUGGUGAUCAAUCCCCGGUGGCCUUCAUUCCAUCCGCAAGAACUGCUCCUUAUGUUGUGUGGUCUACAAGAUAUAUGCAGAUCGUCUUUGAAGGAUCACAUGAGGGUCUGAUUCUUCAUACAGAAUUCAGAAGCUAUAUGCGAACUAAUUCAGAGUCUCUGCACCUCAUUGGAGUUCUUGGGGAAUUGACUCAAUCUUGGAGCUUUACUGAUCAUGUCAGUACCUUGUCAAGCUAUUGGUGGUGUUUCUCUUGGGGACCAGAUUGGGAUCCAGGAGGACCGCUCUUGGAUGUUUCAUCCCCAAUUUCAACUAGUAUGCACACUCCAUCUCCAGAAGAAAGCAUGGAAUGCACGGGCUCAAAAUGGUUACCACCAAAGGGGACUGCCACUGGUAUGGAACAAGAUGAAAAUAAUAUUGGUAUCCACCUCAACCUCGUUCAAGUACACCUUGACAAUGGCUACUUCCGCGACAAAUACCACGAAAAAUCUGACAUGAUCAAGGAUCUUCAAGCACCCUGGGACCCUGGUGAGCCCUGCGUGAAAGCGGCUUGGGGUCAAGCCGAAUCUCAAGGGGUAGGGGAUGUCAGCGACCCAAUUACGGCCACAGCAGCCCAUGGGCCGGGCCUGGUUGAGUGCCACAUGAAGGGAGGCCUGACUACAAGUAUCCACGUAGGAAGCAGCGAAGAGGCAUCCGGGCUUGGAUCAGGCAAAGGCAACGGCUCCUUACCCUUAUCUUCUCCUACCUGCUGUUCUUCCUCCUCCCUCCUUCCCCAAAUCCACGUAUCUGAACUCAAAUCAUCUGUAAUGGAGUAA